CCUACGGGAGGCAGCAGUGGGGAAUGUUGCACAAUGGGGGAAACCCUGAUGCAGCGACGCCGCGUGAGCGAUGAAGUAUUUCGGUAUGUAAAGCUCUAUCAGCAGGGAAGAAAGAGAAAUUUGACGGUACCUGAAGAAUAAGCUCCGGCUAACUACGUGCCAGCAGCCGCGGUAAUACGUAGGGAGCGAGUGUUAUCCGGAAUUAUUGGGCGUAAAGGGUGCGUAGAUGGCAUAGUAAGUCUUUUGUAAAAAUGCUGGGCUCAACCCAGUAGAGCAAAAGAUACUGCAAAGCUAGAGUAUGACAGAGGCAAGUGGAACUACAUGUGUAGCGGUAAAAUGCGUAAAUAUAUGUAAGAACACCAGUGGCGAAGGCGGCUUGCUGGGUCGAUACUGACAUUGAGGCACGAAAGCGUGGGGAGCAAACAGGAUUAGAUACCCGGGUAGUC
rnacentral:rRNA from 1 species